UAUAGGAGCCAUAUCACUCUGCAACUUACAGUACAACUGGCAACCCACUGAAGCUAAGCAGGUAUGAGCCUGGCCAGUACCUGGAUAGGAGACCUCCUGGGUAAAACUAAGGUUGCUGCUGGAA
rnacentral:rRNA from 1 species